rnacentral:rRNA from 1 species
CAGCAGCCACGGUAAUACGGAGGGUGCAAGCGUUAUCCGGAUUCACUGGGUUUAAAGGGUGCGUAGGCGGAUCUGUAAGUCAGUGGUGAAAUCUCCAGGCUUAACCUGGAAACUGCCGUUGAUACUAUAGGUCUUGAAUUUUGUGGAGGUUAGCGGAAUAUGUCAUGUAGCGGUGAAAUGCAUAGAUAUGACAUAGAACACCAAUUGCGAAGGCAGCUGGCUACACAACUAUUGACGCUGAGGCACGAAAGCGUGGGGAUCAAACAGGAUUAGAUACCCCCGUAGUCCCUGUCUCUUAUAC